rnacentral:tRNA from 2 species
GGGUCUUUAGCUCAGCAGUAGAGCGGCAGACUUCGGUUUUCAAUCUGAAGGUCCUUUCAGGCAUUCUGCAGGUCGCGGGUUCAAUCCCCGUAGGACUCU